rnacentral:rRNA from 1 species
GACGAACGCUGGCGGCGUGCUUAACACAUGCAAGUCGAGCGGUAAGGCCCUUUCGGGGGUACACGAGCGGCGAACGGGUGAGUAACACGUGGGUGACCUGCCCUCAGCUCUGGGAUAAGCCUGGGAAACUGGGUCUAAUACCGGAUAUGACUCCAUGACGCAUGUUGUGGGGUGGAAAGCCUUGUGCGGCUGAGGAUGGGCCCGCGGCCUAUCAGCUUGUUGGUGGGGUGANGGCCUACCAAGGCGACGACGGGUAGCCGGCCUGAGAGGGCGACCGGCCACACUGGGACUGAGACACGGCCCAGACUCCUACGGGAGGCAGCAGUGGGGAAUCCUGCGCAAUGGGCGAAAGCCUGACGCAGCGACGCCGCGUGAGGGAUGACGGCCU